GAGUGGCGGACGGGUGAGGAAUGCAUCGGAAUCUGCCUGUUUGUGGGGGAUAACGCGUGGAAACGUGCGCUAAUACCGCAUACGUCCUUUUGUCGGGAGAUGAUUGGAGAAAGUGGGGGACCUUCGGGCCUCACGCGAACAGAUGAGCCGAUGUCGGAUUAGCUGGUUGGUGGGGUAAAGGCCUACCAAGGCGACGAUCCGUAGCUGGUCUGAGAGGAUGAUCAGCCACACUGGAACUGAGACACGGUCCAGACUCCUACGGGAGGCAGCAGUGGGGAAUAUUGGACAAUGGGGGCAACCCUGAUCCAGCCAUGCCGCGUGUGUG
rnacentral:rRNA from 1 species